AGUGAACGCUUUCUUUCUGCCUAACACAUGCAAGUCGAACGGCAGCACAGUAAGAGCUUGCUCUUACGGGUGGCGAGUGGCGGACGGGUGAGGAAUACAUCGGAAUCUACUUUUUCGGGGGGGAUAACGUAGGGAAACUGACGCUAAUACCGCAUACGACCUACGGGUGAAAGCAGGGGAUCUUCGGACCUUGCGCGAUUGAAUGAGCCGAUGUCGGAUUAGCUAGUUGGCGGGGUAAAGGCCCACCAAGGCGACGAUCCGUAGCUGGUCUGAGAGGAUGAUCAGCCACACUGGAACUGAGACACGGUCCAGACUCCUACGGGAGGCAGCAGUGGGGAAUCUUGGACAAUGGGCGCAAGCCUGAUCCAGCCAUACCGCGUGGGUGAAGAAGGCCUUCGGGUUGUAAAGCCCUGUUGUUGGGAAAGAACAGCAGCAGGUUAAUCCCCCGCUGUUCUGACGGUACCCAAAGAAUAAGCACCGGCUAACUUCGUG
rnacentral:rRNA from 1 species